AGAGUUUGAUCAUGGCUCAGAACGAACGCUGGCGGCGUGGAUAAGACAUGCAAGUCGGACGAGAUUUUCCGUUGUAGCAAUACGAUGGAAAGUCUAGUGGCGAACGGGUGCUUAACACGUGGGCAACCUGCCAAGAAGUGGGGGAUAGCUCGCCGAAAGGCGAAUUAAUACCGCAUGUGAUCAGAGAGGACAUCCUUUCGAAAUUAAAGUCGGGGCAACCUGACGCUUUUUGUGGGGCCCGCGGCCUAUCAGCUAGUUGGUGAGGUAACGGCCCACCAAGGCUUUGACGGGUAGCUGGUCUGAGAGGACGACCAGCCACACUGGGACUGAGACACGGCCCAGACACCUACGGGUGGCAGCAGUCGAGAAUUUUUGACAAUGGGGGAAACCCUGAUCGAGCGACGCCGCGUGGAGGAUGAAGGUCUUCGGAUUGUAAACUCCUGUCAUUGGGGAACAAUGCGUGACGGUUAACUGCCGUUGCGUUGAUAGUACCCGAAGAGGAAGAGACGGCUAACUCUGUGCCAGCAGCCGCGGUAAUACAGAGGUCUCAAGCGUUGUUCGGAUUCAUUGGGCGUAAAGGGUGCGUAGGCGGCGCGGUAAGUCGGGUGUGAAAUCUCGGAGCUUAACUCCGAAACUGCAUUCGAUACUGCCGUGCUUGAGGACUGGAGAGGAGACUGGAAUUUACGGUGUAGCGGUGAAAUGCGUAGAUAUCGUAAGGAAGACCAGUGGCGAAGGCGGGUCUCUGGACAGUUCCUGACGCUGAGGCACGAAGGCCAGGGGAGCAAACGGGAUUAGAUACCCCCGUAGUCC
rnacentral:rRNA from 1 species